UACGAAGGGGGCUAGCGUUGUUCGGAAUUACUGGGCGUAAAGCGCACGUAGGCGGAUACUUAAGUCAGGGGUGAAAUCCCGGGGCUCAACCCCGGAACUGCCUUUGAUACUGGGUAUCUCGAGUCCGAGAGAGGUGAGUGGAAUUCCGAGUGUAGAGGUGAAAUUCGUAGAUAUUCGCAAGAACACCAGUGGCGAAGGCGGCUCACUGGCCCGAUACUGACGCUGAGGCACGAAAGCGUGGGGAGCAAACAGG
rnacentral:rRNA from 1 species